GGGCCAGGGCGUCCCUCUGGCUAACACGAGCAUCUGCCAGCUCCAGGCAGGACGGUUCCGGCCCCACGGGUCCUCUCGCUCGAUCCCCGUCCCCAGGUUCAUGACUGACGAGAGGUGAAGCUCUGAUCUGAGCAAGGGAAGCAAACAGAUCAGAGGACACACGACCCGGCCGACCCUGCACACGCAGCAAGCAUGGAGGACAAUGUCCUACCAAGGCAGGAAGCACUUGCCUGGGCUUAGCCCCCUGCCACAGCUUGCAAAUGCAAUGAGGGGACGGCUGAGGUCCCUGGGAGAGGAGCACUGAUUGCUACCGAGCCCUUGCCUGCGGCAGCCCCAAGGUUUUCGGCACGAGCCAUGAGGACGCCGUGAACCAAGCGGAAUUGCCAUGAGACGUGUAGCCCGGAUCCGUUCCCAGGUCGGGCCGGGCCAAGGGCUCGCUCCGCACGUAGCAGCGCGGCCGCCACAAGGACACCCUUCCUUCCUGAGGAGCUCACCUCAGAAAGGGGGAGGGGGUGUUAAUCAGAUCUGUCCUCUCUCGUGGCCCUGCCCCGGGAUCAAAGCAGCAGUUCCAGCUGCAACGCAGGGGCGGGGAGGGGGCACAGGAAGGAAGAGAAAUCGUGACAGAGCCCGGCCAGUGCAGAGAUCUCCCCCGGCGCAGCGCGGCAACCGGCAACCACAGUCGCUCCCAAGCAAGUGCCUGGCUUGAAACCAGUGAAGAGGUGAACCCUGGAAAGCGCUGAGGCGUGCAGGGGAGUGUGCUCCUGAAACGGCAUCGCAAAUACUGGGGGAGGGACUUCCACACUUUUGUCAAAUUAAAAGUGAAACAGCAGCGUCUUCUGCUGUAAAGUGCCAGGAAGUGUCAAAACACGUAGUUACAAAGAGCAAGAGUGUAAUUACGUGUUUCUGUUUAUCGUUUCAGUUACCUGCAGAUUACAGGCCCUAUUCGAAAAUACUCCAGCUCCGGGGGCCUGAUGCGGUCUGCAGGCCUUCUUUCCAGCCUCCUGCCUAGGAAUGCUCCUUCCUUUCUUUCUCUGUUCUAAACCUGCCACUGGUUUCUCUGCAUGCUGGAGCUUACCACUUUGUAAGUGACGCUUAUCUCCCGCGCUCUAUUUCUAGGAGGUUUCACUGCUAAUUUUCUUUUUUUCUUUUCUUUUCUUUUCACAGUGCUGUUUCUCCUUCGCCACCACAGAGCAGGGCUUGCUAGGGGGGUCUGUCUACCUGGGGCCCUUUCGCUACUAACUAUGUGAUCCCACUGUACAAAAUAGGACCGCCUGCAACAUUUGUGCUGUCAGAAGCUGAUCCUAUUUCUGAAGGAUGAAAUGCACAUUUGAGACGCACUCACACGCCGUUAUAAACAGCGGCUACCCUGUACUGCUGUCAGCCAAUUAAUCUGCAAUGGCUUUUUCUUAGAUUAUGAAUAAAAUGAGAAUCCCGAGCAGCA